UGGUACUUGAUAUAUAGAGCUUCAAGCAACAAGAGAAAAUUAGGUGUGCGAGAAUAAAUAGUGUGAAGAAUUCGAGAGUUGUCAAUUAUUAAGUUGGAAAUAAAAGUGGAAACGUUAUUGUCAGCGUCAGUUGGGUUAUUAAGUUUGUCAAAAGCAAAGUGUAGGUUUACAAUGUAUUGCACACGUUCACAGUUCUGAAAAUGCUGUCCAAUAGCACUUUUGGUCGGACUGGUAUGCUCAACGAGUCGCGAAAUGCACCUCUCGUGGUUCUGCCGUGGUAUGCUGCACCUGUCGUGGUUCUGAUUGAGACUUCCGUUAUGUCAUCAUGCCUUGCCAACUUGUAUAUAAGACCAUGUAUAUAUUGUAACUGUAGUUAGUCUGAUG